AAAAAAAAAAUACUACAUUUUCAGUGCUGCAGAUGUGGCCAUGAUAUUCGGCAUACGGUCUGGCAACAGAGAUGUGCUCGGUCCGGAUGGUAACAUCAAUGAGGCGGCAAGCGCGGCGGUCCUUUCUAUGUGAACAGAAUGCACAAGCAACCCGCCAUGUCACCACUGCGCGCCAUAACAUACACACCGACAUGAUCAACUUCACAGACAAGCUGAUGGCAACACUUUGCAUCCAAGUGCACAUGCUGUGUUGCGAGGGCUUACUCUGACUGUCCCCCUGAAAAUGAUAGAUAACAAUGCAACAUCUACCGAACCUCACCCAGCUAAUCCACCCAGUUCUACUCUACAAGCCAUUGUACCGAACCCCAGUUUCUAGCAAAAUCCAUGGCGUGAGGCUUGAAAUUGUCUGAUUGUGAAGGAGAGCGCUCUUCUAAUAAACAUAAACCGGCUAAAUGGAUGAGGCAAUCCGGCUCCACUUCCCGCCCUCAGGAAACCAAGGCCUCCAAAAGCCCUAGCAAGGAAUCUGUAAGUGAUGCUCGGACAACUGAAUCAAUUUGAUCUACUGUCCAGCACUAUGCAUGGUGCAUAUCAGUUUCAGUUAGGGAUAUGUACGCCGACUGCCAGAAGGGUGAUCCUUCGACAGUAAUUUUUGUUGUCAACCGCAUCAACAUACCGAAGAGGAAGUAUGUAUCAUCAAGGAGUUAUGCCACCAACCCAUGGUUCGCAGGCCGGCCAGUCGUUCCAACAUCAACUACUACUGUUGAACUUCUUGAAUCCCACUUCCAAUCGCUGUCUGCACACCACCUUGCCAGAACUGGAUAGUACACAAUGCUCCACAGUUCGUACGAGUUAGCGGGAAGGACAUCAUGGAUCAGCUAGUCGGCAAUGACAUGCUCGAUCAUGAACUAGGGUGUAACAUUUUGUGGCGGCAGGACCAGGUCGAUCUGGAGUCAAACCACGCUUUGCCAUAUCUGAAUCACCGUCACAU